GCGACGAUAAGGUGCUCGUCGGACUCGCAACCAAAAUGCUUCAGGACAUGAGCUACGGUUUCGACGAUGAUGAGAGCUACGUUAGCUGA
rnacentral:sRNA from 1 species